GAUGAACGCUGGCGGCGUGCCUAAUACAUGCAAGUCGAGCGAACAGAUAAGGAGCUUGCUCCUCUGAAGUUAGCGGCGGACGGGUGAGUAACACGUGGGUAACCUACCUAUAAGACUGGGAUAACUUCGGGAAACCGGAGCUAAUACCGGAUAACAUUUAGAACCGCAUGGUUCUAAAGUGAAAGAUGGUUUUGCUAUCACUUAUAGAUGGACCCGCGCCGUAUUAGCUAGUUGGUAAGGUAACGGCUUACCAAGGCGACGAUACGUAGCCGACCUGAGAGGGUGAUCGGCCACACUGGAACUGAGACACGGUCCCGACUCCUACGGGAGGCAGCAGUAGGGAAUCUUCCGCAAUGGGCGAAAGCCUGACGGAGCAACGCCGCGUGAGUGAUGAAGGGUUUCGGCUCGUAAAACUCUGUUAUUAGGGAAGAACAAAUGUGUAAGUAACUGUGCACAUCUUGACGGUACCUAAUCAGAAAGCCACGGCUAACUACGU
rnacentral:rRNA from 1 species